UGCUGGUACAGCCAGAGAUUGAGCAGAUUUUUGGUGUUGGGAGCUGGAACUGGAGCUUGCUCCGUCCCCUCCAUGCGUCGGCCUGGUAUUGCAGUGCUUCCAGGAGCGGUGC
rnacentral:snRNA from 1 species